AUGGAGGAGGACCAAAACGACGACGCUUUGUUUUGCUUACCGGAUUUUCAAGAAGAGGAGGAUAAGGAAAGGGAAUUUUGGAGUUUGAAGGUGGAUUCUUCUACUAAUAAUAAACCUUCCUAUCAAUACCAACUUCAUCCAUCCCCUCCUCCUACUUCUGAUUAUGCCCUUGAUUGCCUUUGGAAUUACUAAUCAUCCUUCAUGUAUCUAUAUG
rnacentral:misc_RNA from 1 species